AUUGAACGCUGGCGGCAGGCCUAACACAUGCAAGUCGAGCGGAUGACGGGAGCUUGCUCCUUGAUUCAGCGGCGGACGGGUGAGUAAUGCCUAGGAAUCUGCCUGGUAGUGGGGGACAACGUUUCGAAAGGAACGCUAAUACCGCAUACGUCCUACGGGAGAAAGCAGGGGACCUUCGGGCCUUGCGCUAUCAGAUGAGCCUAGGUCGGAUUAGCUAGUUGGUGGGGUAAUGGCUCACCAAGGCGACGAUCCGUAACUGGUCUGAGAGGAUGAUCAGUCACACUGGAACUGAGACACGGGCCAGACUCCUACGGGAGGCAGCAGUGGGGAAUAUUGGAAAAUGGGCGAAAGCCUGAUCCAGCCAUGCCGCGUGUGUGAAGAAGGUCUUCGGAUUGUAAAGCACUUUAAGUUGGGAGGAAGGGCAGUAAGCUAAUACCUUGCUGUUUUGACGUUACCGACAGAAUAAGCACCGGCUAACUCUGUGCCAGCCGCCGCCGCGG
rnacentral:rRNA from 1 species